GCGGUAUAAACCAAUAGACGAACAGGAUAUUGCUUUGGUCCGCCCUUUUUUUUCUUUUGACGCUCACUUUCUCUGUGUGCUGAAGAAGGCUGGCAGAGGGGGGGGUUACGACAUGCCCGCUGACAUCAUUUAAUAGUUUGGUUGGUCAGUCGUCUGUGGGAACCAUUCUAAAUUAAGUUGGCACCACCAUGGAGGUACAUCUUGGCUGCAGGUUGCUUAGCAUAAUAAUCCAUGGAAGAAGAAGAAGAAGAAGAA